AUUUGGAGGCGGAUUUGGUGGAGGAGGUGGUUUAGGUGGAGGAGCCGGAGGUGGUUUUGGUGGAGGAGGUGGUGGUGGAAUUGGAGGAUAUCACUAAACAUACUCUAGUUAAUGAAUUUAAACACAGAAGUAAGCAUGUAUACCAUUGGUAUUGUCAUUAAAUUUUCGGAAUUACCUCUAAUUAAUGAAUUAAAUACAGAAUUAAGCAUGUAUACCAUUGCUAUUGUCAUUAAAUUUUCGAAAUUAUUAUUCAUGAGUAUCAUAUGAAAUGAAUUCAAAUUUCUUCUUCUAUUCGUUAAUAAUAUGCAUACAUGCAACAUUUUCUUCCUGUAUCAUGCACAUCUACCUCUAUCGAUGCAUGGAACUGAAAUACAUGUUGCUUUAUGUGCAAGAAACACGUGGACCAAAAUGAAUAUUAUAAAACAGAAAACUAAUUACGUUCAAAUUUCAACAACUUUGGUAGUUUUCCCCCUUUUUUUUAUAAGUGUGAAAAGGGGACUGGACUAAAGUAGUUUAAAUUCUUAGCUAAUUGGCACAAUAUUUCGAUGUUGUCUCUUUUGCAAUAUACACUAGAAGGCAACAAAUUUAUCAUUUCAUUGAGAAUAUUACUACUAAGUUUAAGUGCUGCUGUUUAAUGGAG
rnacentral:lncRNA from 1 species